AUUGAACGCUAGCGGGAUGCCUUACACACGCAAGUCGAACGGAUUGGCGAACGGGUGAGUAAUGUACCGGCACGUGCCCAGCAGCGGGGGAUAACUACGCGAAAGCGUAGCUAAUACCGCACACUAGUGGAGCGGCCGAUAUCGGAUUAGCUCGUUGGUGGGGGAACGGCUCACCAAGGCGACGAUCCGUAGCGGGGUUGAGAGGACGACCAGCCAUACUGGGACUGAGACACGGCCCAGACGCCUACGGGAGGCAGCAGUGGGGAAUUUUGGACAAUUGGUGAGACCCUGCUCCAGCCAUCCCGCGUGUGCGAUGAAUGCCUUGGGGUUGUGGAGCACUUUUGGCAGGAAAGCGGUACCUGCAGAAUAAGCACCGGAUAACUACGUGCCAGCAGCCGCGGUAAUUC
rnacentral:rRNA from 1 species